GGGAUUUUUUGGGGUUUUUUUGGGUUUUUUGGGGGAUUUUUUUUGGUUUUUUGGGGUUUUUUUGGGUUUUUUUGAGUUUUUUUGGGUAUUUCGGGGGGUUUUUGAGGUUUUUUGGGGUUUUCAACCCCAAAUUUCGCCGCCCUGACCCCGAUUUUGGCCCCCCCAGGUCGGACUGCGAGCGCCCCGGCCCCGAGCUCUGCUCCUUCCCCUCGGCCAACGUCUCCCUGCUGGGGGAGCACCGCGAGAAGGUGUUGCUCUAUGGUCAGCUGUACCGGAUCUCCCUGGGAAUGUGGGAAUUUGGGAAUUCAGGAUUUAUUUGGGAAUUUGGGAUUUAUUUGGGAUUGAUUUGGGAUUUAUCCCAUCCAGCUGUUGCUGUACGGUCAGCUGUACCGGAUCUCUCUGGGAAUGUGGGAAUUCAGGAAUUUGGGAUUGAUUUGGGAAUGAUUUGGGAUUGAUUUGGGAAUGAUUUGGGAUUUAUCCCAUCCAGCUGUUGCUCUAUGGUCAGCUGUACCGGAUCUCUCUGGGAAUUUGGGAAUUUGGGAAUUCAGGAUUAAUUUGGGAUUGAUUUGGGAUUUAUUUGGGAUUUAUUUGGGAUUUAUUUGGGAUUUAUUUGGGAUUGAUUUGGGAUUUAUUUGGGAAUGAUUUGGGAUUUAUUUGGGAUUUAUCCCGUGCAGCUGUUGCUGUACAGUCAGCUGUACCGGUCAGCUGUACCGGAUCUCUCUGGGAAUGUGGGAAUUCAGGAUUUAUUUGGGAAUUUGGGAAUUCUUUGGGAUUGAUUUGGGAAUUUGGGAAUGCCCAGGUGUUGCUGUACGGUCAGCUGUACCGGAUCCCUCUGGGAAUGUGGGAAUUCAGGAAUUUGGGAUUGAUUUGGGAUUGAUUUGGGAUUGAUUUAUUUGGAAUUUAUCCCAUCCAGCUGUUGCUCUAUGGGCAGCUGUACCGGAUCUCUCUGGGAAUUUGGGAAUUUGGGAAUUUGGGAUUGAUUUGGGAUUGAUUUGGGAUUGAUUUGGGAUUUAUCCCGUGCAGCUGUUGCUCUAUGGUCAGCUGUACCGGAUCUCUCUGGGAAUGUGGGAAUGUGGGAAUUUGGGAUUUAUUUGGGAUUGAUUUGGGAAUUUGGGAUUUAUUUGGGAAUGAUUAAUUUGGGAAUGCCCAGCUGUUGCUCUACGGUCAGCUGGACCGGAUCUCCCUGGGAAUUUGGGAAUUUGGGAAUUCUUUGGGAUUGAUUUGGGAUUGAUUUGGGAUUGAUUUGGGAAUUUGGGAAUGCCCAGCUGUUGCUCUAUGGUCAGCUGUACCGGAUCUCUCUGGGAAUGUGGGAAUUCAGGAAUUUGGGAAUUUGGGAAUUCAGGAUUUAUUUGGGAUUGAUUUGGGAUUUAUUUGGGAAUGAUUUGGGAUUUAUUUGGGAUUUAUCCCGUGCAGCUGUUGCUGUACAGUCAGCUGUACCGGAUCUCUCUGGGAAUG
rnacentral:lncRNA from 1 species